rnacentral:rRNA from 1 species
UACAGAGGGGGCAAGCGUUGUUCGGAAUUACUGGGCGUAAAGGGCGCGUAGGCGGCCUGUUAAGUCGAACGUGAAAUCCCCGGGCUCAACCCGGGAACUGCGUCCGAUACUGGCAGGCUUGAAUCCGGGAGAGGGAUGUGGAAUUCCAGGUGUAGCGGUGAAAUGCGUAGAUAUCAUUUGGAACGCCAAUGGUGAAAACAGGUUGCUGGGGGUGUGCUGACGCUGAGACACGAAAGCCAGGGGAGCGAACGGG